UCAAAUUUCCUUCCCCCUGAAGCUGGAUGUACAAACUGAUUUUGCUGUUCACACAGUACAGGCUAUAACGUUAAAAAGCGAACUUGAAUUGGAGACGUAUUUUUAAAAAUUGUGGUGCUUUAUAUUUGACAGUUAAACUCAACUUCAAAACGCGGCUCUUCAAUUCACGUUGGGGACGCCAAACAGGAAUUCGCGAGACGUUUUGGCAAGGCUGGAGGACUCGAAGCAUUGCAAGGCUGCUGCGCAGAAGGGGACGCUCACCGAGGAAGAGGCUUUUAUAAAAGACGUCACAGACAGACAGACAUCCUUGCCUUGGGAAACAUCCUAGGGGGAAAAAAAAAACCUAAUUGGUAGAGUGCCAUUUAACCCAAACUCUCCCACCAAUAUCAGUAUCUCGAAAUUGUGGGAAUAUAAAUUCUCAUGAGGGAAUAUGUGCAAGCGAGGCAAACACCAUUAUUCCAGGCUCUCCCAUCAGCCUCUGUGUUUCUAGACAGGAAAUGUGAGGGGAGGGGUUCUGCUGGUGGAUUCUGGGAUGGUGACACCUGCAGCGCCACUUUGAAAGACAUGCUGUUUCUGUUCACCCUAGAGUCUGUGGAUGUUUUAUGGAGGUGGAGAAAGGAACCAGGCCCCUUACCUGUGCAAGGCCAGAGACUCUGGUUGAGCCAGGCCUCGGUUGGCAGAUUGGUAAUGAGCGGCUGUAUGUGGUGAGGCUCAGGCACAGUACCGGCCCCCUGGGGGAAAUGUGGUACAGGAUAAUGAGAGGGCUGAAACUCUUAAUGUGGUGGUGAUUCAUGGAGACCAUCCGUCCGGAUUACCUUUCUCACUGUGUGCACAAUGUGGACAAGGAUUCCCAGGGUUAGGAACAACACCACCAGAUUGGCCCAGCAAGCCCUUGGGGAGAUGGGCCUUUCCCAGGGUACAAAAACUGUGGUGCACGUUGGGUUAAUAUGAACCGUAAUACCUGUUUGUUCCAAAAUGCAGUUGCAGAAAGGUGUGGAACAUAAACUGCAAAAGGCCUCAUCACAUUUUGAGUCCUCAGUGCCAAUUAUAUUUACUAUUAAAUACUAAUAAGUUGAUAACCACUGAAGGUGUCAUGUGCAAAAUUCAACAAAUCAUAUCCAUCCAUCCACCUAUCUAAUGUAUCGUUCUAUCUAUUGUUCUAUCAUUCUGCUGUUCUAUCUACAAUUCUGUCUUUCAUUCUGUCUGUCUGUAUGGCUUCUAAAUCUUUAAACUUCAGCGCUUUUAAAACAUUUUUCUGGAUGUGUCAAACCAACAUUUAAAGUUUAUCGUUGGUUUUCUGCUUAAAAUUACAGUUCUAUGAAUUUAUUUCAAUUAAAGUUCAUUUUAAGUCUUAAUGCUUCCUUAAAA